GGCAGGAGUCCUAACAAAGAGUUUAGGGAUAACAUGAGAGGACCUGGGAGGGCCAGUGCAGGCCCUGCAUAAAUUGGGGGAGGUGGAGAGAGGCCAAGGAAGGGGAUGCAGCACAUGUGCAGGAAGGCUGGGGGGUGGGUUAGUAUGACAAGAUGCACAGACGGAAGGCCAGGUGUGGAUGUGGUGUGGUAGGGUGUAUGUUCAGGAAGGCCAGUGGGGGGACUUACCAAGGUAAUCUUCCCUGCUGGCUUCCCCAGUGACUUUUUUUGUGGGAAGCCAGCAGAGGACUGGUGAUCAGUUGACCUUGGGAUGUUGCAACUCUCUUGUGAACCAGUUUCCAAGUGCUUAAUUGUGACCACAUUCCUGCAAGGAUGUUGUGAUAACCAGAACUUCAAGGACCAGUUAAAGGACCCCUAGGAAACAUCAAGAAAUAGCUAAGCAAAAAGUUGAGGAAUUAUCAACAAAAAUCCUUGUUCUGGAACGGAACGUGGCAUAAGCAGCUUCAGACCAUAGACAGAUGAGUCUAAUAAUGGAGACAUUUCUGCUGGGAAUCUUAUAACGGACUAAAAUGUUCAGGAGGGAGACUAAUAAAAGAAUACUUUCCACAGUUA